rnacentral:rRNA from 1 species
UACGUAGGGGGCAAGCGUUGUCCGGAAUCAUUGGGCGUAAAGAGCGCGUAGGCGGCCCAGUAAGUCCGCUCUGAAAGUCAGGGGCUCAACCCCUGAAUGCGGGUGGAUACUGCUGGGCUAGAGUCCGGAAGAGGCGAGUGGAAUUCCUGGUGUAGCGGUGAAAUGCGCAGAUAUCAGGAGGAACACCAAUUGCGAAGGCAGCUCGCUGGGACGUAACUGACGCUGAGACGCGAAAGCGUGGGGAGCAAACAGG